rnacentral:rRNA from 1 species
CGGGGUAGAGUAACACGUGGGCAACCUGCCCAAAANAGGGGAUAACACUUGGAAACAGGUGCUAAUACCGCAUAACCAUAGUUACCGCAUGGUAGCUAUGUAAAAGGUGGCUAUGCUACCGCUUUUGGAUGGGCCCGCGGCGCAUUAGCUAGUUGGUGGGGUAAAGGCUUACCAAGGCAAUGAUGCGUAGCCGAACUGAGAGGUUGAUCGGCCACAUUGGGACUGAGACACGGCCCAGACUCCUACGGGAGGCAGCAG